rnacentral:rRNA from 1 species
AUGGCUGACCUGACCCUAUCUGCGGUCGACUCGCUGGUGGGCCUGCUGGUGACGGCGGUCACAGAGGAGGCGAAGCUGCUGGGCGGCCUGCAGGGUGAUAUGCAGUUCAUCAAGGAUGAGAUGGAGAGCAUCAACGUCUUCCUCAUCGACCUCACCAAGACGGAGGGCAAGCACGACGACCAGCUCCGCGCCUGGAUGAAGCAGGUCCGUGAUAUCUCCUACAUCGCCCAGGACUGCAUCGAGCUCUACAAACGCGACUUCAAGGGCCCGUCUAGCGGCGGCCUCUUGGCCCGCUUCUACUACCGCGUGGUGCUCCUCGUGACGGGUCGACAUUGUAAGGAGCACGACCUCGCCAGCAGGAUCCGCAACCUCAAGGCCCGCGUCGAGGACGUCGGUGAGAGGCGGGAGCGCUACCAACUCAGCAUCCCCACGCUCUAGGAACAGGAAGGGACGCCGCCGGCCGAGGCCCAAGCUAGCCAGGACAAGAUCGACGAGGCGAGAGAAGAAUUUGUACGUGCGUUGGCACGUGACAAACAGCAGAAGAAGAAGGAGCUCGUCCCAUGCUUUGACGAGGCCAUCCAUCUCCUCCUUGUUAAGGAUCUUCAAUCGGCAGCCACCAAAGUACGUGACUGCCUCCGUAAAAAUCUGCCGCAUGAGGAGAGUGCGGCCGUCUGCAUGGAGAUGCUGCUCCGUGCUCUCCGGGAUCAUAGCCAAGCCCGCCCGGCGGUCCAAAAGACCAAGAAAGAACUGAUGAAAUUAGUGGAUGAAGCGGACACGGACAUCCAAGAUUUUCCCACUCAAGUCAUGAUCUUCUGCUACAGCAAGCUGUCCAGGAGCUACAAGAGCUGCUUGCAGUAUCUCUAUGCCUUCCGCCAUGAAGCCGCCAUCAGCAGGACGAGCUUGGUCAGGCGAUGGCUCGCCGAAGGCCGCGUGGAGAAGCAAGCAGGUUUUGAUGGUACCCUCGAGGAGGCAGCGGAGCUCUGCUUCAAAGAUCUCCUCUUCCGGGGGUUCCUUCUUCCUGUCGACGACCCAGCCUCCGCUUCCCGCAAGGUCAAGACCUUCACAAUUGAUGACACCGUCUGGCGCUUCCUCUAUCGCAUGUCCACAACGGAGAACUUUGUGGACAACCUGCCGACUCACCUCGAAAACCAGCUUCGCAUCCGGAAAUUUGUGAAACGGCAAGAGGAGGAAGACUCACCUCGACCACGCCACCCGUGGAGCAUCUGUGGCCGUUGGACGACGACUCCGUCGGAUAACAGAAUGGUGGCAGAUCCUGAUCCCAUGGAUGCCAUGAUAAACUUCCUCAAGUCUCUCGACCAAACCUACCGGCUAAAUGUGCUGGAUCUUGGGGGUUGCAAGGGUCUGAAGAAGAGCCACCUCAAGAGCAUCUGCAAGGUGGUCUCGCUCAAGUACCUCAGCCUCAGGAACACGGACGUCUCCCACCUGCCCGAGGAGAUAAACAAUCUCAUACUGCUGGAGACGCUCGACAUCCGGCAAACUAAGGUAUGGGGCCCAGACAUGAAGCACAUUUACCUCCGAAAGCUAAAGCACCUGCUCACCGGCCCGAAGAUGACCACGGAGGAGGAGACGAUCCGCGGGGCAGGGAUGCCUCGCUUGAUCGGAAAGAUGGAAGACAUGGAGAUACUGUCCCGGGUCCAGGUUCAACACGGCAUGAAGGAACUCGAAGAAGUUGCCCGCCUGCUGAAGCUUAGGAAGCUGGGCGUGGUUCUCAUUGGCAGCCAAAGCCAAGCUCAAGACAACAUGGCCAGUAUGCUCCGAGCAAUGACCAAGCUGAGAGAUUGCUUACGCUCUCUCUCAAUAUGGGUCACUCCGCCACCCACAAAUGGGGACCCUAGUGUCACUGUGAAUAUGGUGAUGACACAAGAUUAUGCCCCCAAGUUACUGGAGAGCCUGGAUAUCAGGGGCGUGCGCUUUCUCAACACCGGGUUGCCUCACUGGAUCUGGGCGCUGCAAGAACUCUGUGAGAUUACACUGUGUGACACCUUUCUGUCUAAAGUCUCUCUGCAGGACCUUGGCAACAAGCUCCAUCACUUGCGCCGCCUUCGGCUCCUUCGCAACUCGUACAACGAGCCAAAGCUCACUUUCAGUACUGAUGGGUUCCAAGAGCUCAGGUUCCUCAUCGUCGAGGGCAACACCAUCACCACAGUCAGCAUUGAACAAGGUGGCGCAGCCCCUUUGCUCAAGAAGAUCGUUUGGCACAACAUGGCUAUCAAUCAGGCGGGCAAACUUUCUGGAAUUCACCACCUUAAGAGGCUGCAAGAGGUGGUGCUCAAGGGCAACUUCACCGACCCGAGCUCCAUUCCACACAACGAUGGGUGCAAAAUAACCGAGGCAUGA